GGUGGGCAGGCCCCUGCUAUGCAUUCCCCCAGAACGCACUGAAGUUCAUCCUAACACCGUGCUUUACAAGACUGUGAUUCGGAGCCUUGUGGUUCCAGGCUUCCUGAAAUGAAUGAAAUGGAAGGUGAGAACAUCAAGGCUCAGAGAGGUCAAUCACAUGUCCCAGGAAUUCAUGAGAAAAUAUCUGUAAGGAACACAUAG
rnacentral:lncRNA from 1 species